ensembl:lncRNA
AAAUAUAUUUGUGAGGUAGCUGGUGUGUGAGGGAGGUAUCUGGUGUGUGAGGGAGGUAGCUGGUGUGUGAGGGAGGUAGCUGUGUGCAAGGUAGGUAGCUGGCGUGUGAGGGAGGUAGCUGGUGUGUGAGGGAGGUAGCUGGCGUGUGAGGGAGGUAGCUGGUGUGUGAGGGAGGUAGCUGGCGUGUGAGGGAGGUAGCUGUGUGCAAGGUAGGUAGCUGGCAUGUGAGGGAGGUAGCUGGUGUGUGAGGGAGGUAGCUGGUGUGUGAGGGAGGUAGCUGGUGUGUGAGGGAGGUAGCUGGCGUGUGAGGGAGGUAGCUGGUGUGUGAGGGAGGUAGCUGGUGUGUGAGGGAGGUAGCUGGUGUGUGAGGGAGGUAGCUGGCGUGUGAGGGAGGUAGCUGGUGUGUGAGGGAGGUAGCUGUGUGCAAGGUAGGUAGCUGGCGUGUGAGGGAGGUAGCUGGUGUGUGAGGGAGGUAGCUGGUGUGUGAGGGAGGUAGCUGGUGUGUGAGGGAGGUAGCUGGCGUGUGAGGGAGGUAGCUGGCGUGUGAGGGAGGUAGCUGGUGUGUGAGGGAGGUAGCUGUGUGCAAGGUAGGUAGCUGGCGUGUGAGGGAGGUAGCUGGUGUGUGAGGGAGGUAGCUGGCGUGUGAGGGAGUUAGCUGGCGUGUGAGGGAGGUAGCUG